rnacentral:rRNA from 1 species
AAUGAACGCUGGCGGCAGGCCUAACACAUGCAAGUCGAACGGAUCCUUCGGGAUUAGUGGCGGACGGGUGAGUAACGCGUGGGAGCAUACCCAAAGGUACGGAAUAGCCUCGGGAAACUGGGAGUAAUACCGUAUGUGCUCGAAAGAGGAAAGAUUUAUCGCCUUUGGAUUGGCCCGCGUUGGAUUAGGUAGUUGGUGGGGUAAUGGCCUACCAAGCCGACGAGCCGUAGCUGGUUUGAGAGGAUGAUCAGCCACACUGGGACUGAGACACGGCCCAGACUCCUACGGGAGGCAGCAGUGGGGAAUCUUAGACAAUGGGGGAAACCCUGAUCUAGCCAUGCCGCGUGAUCGAUGAAGGCCUUAGGGUUGUAAAGAUCUUUCAGGUGGGAAGAUAAUGACUGUACCACCAGAAGAAGCCCCGGCUAACUCCGUGCCAGCCGCCGCCGUAA